UACCUUUGCACCGUCUAAACGAAAAGUUCGUGGCGACUACAUAAUAAACAUUUAAAUAAUUUUAGCAUG
rnacentral:ncRNA from 1 species